rnacentral:rRNA from 1 species
AACGAACGCUGGCGGCGUGGAUAAGGCAUGCAAGUCGAGCGCGAAAGUUUCCUUCGGGGGAUGAGUAGAGCGGCUAACGGGUGAGUAACACGUGAGUAACUUGCCUCUGGGUGGGGGACAACACCGGGAAACCGGUGCUAAUACCGCAUGAAGUUGCUGGUUCGCAUGGACUGGUAACCAAAGGGGGGGAUCUUCGGACCUCCCGCCUGGAGAGAGGCUCGCGCCUGAUUAGUUAGUUGGUGAGGUAACGGCUCACCAAGACGAUGAUCAGUAGCCGGUCUGAGAGGAUGGCUGGCCACACUGGGAUUGAGAUACGGCCCAGACUCCUACGGGAGGCAGCAGUCUAGAAGCUUCGGCAAUGGGCGAAAGCCUGACCGAGCGACGCCGCGUGCAGGACGAAGGCCUUCGGGUUGUAAACUGCUUUCGACAGGGAUGAACGGUAGGGGUGUGAAUAGCGUUCCUAUUUGACAGUACCUGGAGAAGAAGCCCCGGCUAACUCCGUGCCAGC